rnacentral:rRNA from 1 species
AUACGGGGGGUGCAAGCGUUAAUCGGAAUUACUGGGCGUAAAGCGCGCGUAGGCGGUUUGCUCAGUCGGAUGUGAAAGCCCAGGGCUCAACCUUGGAACUGCAUACGAUACUGGCAAACUAGAGUGUGAGAGAGGAGAGUGGAAUUUCCGGUGUAGCGGUGAAAUGCGUAGAUAUCGGAAGGAAAAUCAGUGGCGAAGGCGACUGUCUGGCUAAACACUGACGCUGAGGUGCGAAAGCGUGGGUAGCAAACAGGAUUAGAUACCCGAGUAGUCC